CCGCCAGAGAACUACUAGUGAAAAACUUAAAACUCAAAGGACUUGGCGGUGUCCCACCUCGACCUAGAGGAGCCUGUCCUAUAAUCGAUACCCCCCGUUCAACCCAACCUUAACUAGCACAAUCAGCCUAUAUACCGCCGUCGACAGUCUACCCCAUGAGGGUACAAAAGUAGACACAACAGUUUUACCACUAAAACGUCAGGUCAAGGUGUAGCAAAUGUUAAGGAAGUGAUUGGCUACAUUUUUUAAAAUAAACAAACGAAAUGCAACAUGAAAUCAUGCACGAAGGUGAAUUUAGCAGUAAGAU
rnacentral:rRNA from 1 species